CCCGGCACAAGCGGAGGAGCAUGUGGUUUAAUUCGAUGAUACGCGAGGAGCCUUACCUGGGCUUAAAUGCUUAAUGACGUACUGGGAAACUGGUAUUUCUUCGGACAUUUUGCAAGGUGCUGCAUGGUUGUCGUCAGCUCGUGCCGUGAGGUGUCGGGUUAAGUCCCAUAACGAGCGCAACCCUAUUGUAGUUGCCAUCAGGUCAUGCUGGGGACUCUAACAAAACUGCCCGCGUAAGCGUGGAGGAAGGUGGGGAUGACGUCAAAUCAGCACGGCCCUUACGUCCAGGGCUACACACAUGCUACAAUGGCCGGUACAGAGGGCAGCCACUUGGUGACAAGGAGCAAAUCUCAAAAGCCGGUCUCAGUUCGGAUCGGAGUCUGCAACUCGACUCCGUGAAGUUGGAUUCGCUAGUAAUCGUAGAUCAGCAAUGCUACGGUGAAUACGUUCCCGGGCCUU
rnacentral:rRNA from 1 species